UACGAAGGGUGCAAGCGUUACUCGGAAUCACUGGGGCGUAAAGCGUGCGUAGGCGGUUCGUUAAGUCUGCUGUGAAAGCCCUGGGCUCAACCUGGGGAACUGCAGUUGGAUACUGGCGGACUAGAGUGUGAUAGAGGAUGGUGGAAUUCCCGGUGUAGCGGUGAAAUGCGUAGAGAUCGGGAGGAACACCAGUGGCGAAGGCGGCCAUCUGGAUCAACACUGACGCUGAGGCACGAAAGCGUGGGGGAGCAAACAGG
rnacentral:rRNA from 1 species